rnacentral:rRNA from 1 species
CCAGCAGCCGCGGUAAUUCCAGCUCCAAUAGCGUAUAUUUAAGUUGUUGCAGUUAAAAAGCUCGUAGUUGGAUUUCGGGUGGGUUCAAGCGGUCCGGCUCUGCUGUGUACUGCUUAGGCCUACCUUUCUGCCGGGGACGGGCUCCUGGGCUUCACUGUCCGGGACUCGGAAUCGGCGAGGUUACUUUGAGUAAAUCAAGGCGUUCAAAGCAGGCAUACGCUCUGAAUGCAUUAGCAUGGAAUAACACGAUAGGACUCUGGCCUAUCUUGUUGGUCUGUAGGACCGGAGUAAUGAUUAAGAGGGACAGUCGGGGGCAUUCGUAUUUCAUUGUCAGAGGUGAAAUUCUUGGAUUUAUGAAAGACGAACUUCUGCGAAAGCAUUUGCCAAGGAUGUUUUCAUUAAUCAAGAACGAAAGU